GAUGAACGCUGGCGGCGUGCCUAAUACAUGCAAGUCGAGCGAACAGAUGAGGAGCUUGCUCCUCUGACGUUAGCGGCGGACGGGUGAGUAACACGUGGAUAACCUACCUAUAAGACUGGGAUAACUUCGGGAAACCGGAGCUAAUACCGGAUAAUAUAUUGAACCGCAUGGUUCAAUAGUGAAAGACGGUUUUGCUGUCACUUAUAGAUGGAUCCGCGCCGCAUUAGCUAGUUGGUAAGGUAACGGCUUACCAAGGCGACGAUGCGUAGCCGACCUGAGAGGGUGAUCGGCCACACUGGAACUGAGACACGGUCCAGACUCCUACGGGAGGCAGCAGUAGGGAAUCUUCCGCAAUGGGCGAAAGCCUGACGGAGCAACGCCGCGUGAGCGAUGAAGGUCUUCGGAUCGUAAAACUCUGUUAUUAGGGAAGAACAAAUGUGUAAGUAACUAUGCACGUCUUGACGGUACCUAAUCAGAAAGCCACGGCUAACUACGUG
rnacentral:rRNA from 1 species